CCUACGGGAGGCAGCAGUGAGGAAUAUUGGUCCAUGGACGAAAGUCUGAACCAGCCAAGUAGCGUGAAGGAUGACUGCCCUAUGGGUUGUAAACUUCUUUUAUAAAGGAAUAAAACGAGGCACGUGUGCCUUUUUGCCUGUCCUUUAUGAAUAAGGAUAGGCUAAAUCCUUGCCAGCAGCCGCGGUAAUACGGAGUAUCCGAGCGGUAUCCGGAUUUCUUGGGGUUAAGAGGAGCGUAGAUGGGUUGUUAAGUCAGUUGUGAAAUGUUGCGGCUCAACCGUAAAAUUGCAAUUGAUACGGGCAGUCUUGAGUACAGUUGAGGUAGGCGGAAUUCGUGGUGUAGCGGUGAAAUGCUUAGAUAUCACGAAGAACCCCGAUUGCGAAGGCAGCUUACUAAGCUGUGACUGACAUUGAUGCUCGAAAGUGUGGGUAUCAAACAGGAUUAGAUACCCUUGUAGUC
rnacentral:rRNA from 1 species